rnacentral:rRNA from 1 species
UACAGGGUGCGAGCGUUGUCCGGAAUCACUGGGCGUAAAGGGCGCGUAGGCGGCUCGGUAAGGUUGCGGUGAAAGCCCGGGGCUCAACCCCGGGUCGGCCGUGGCAACUGCUGGGCUCGAGCACUGUAGAGGCAGGUGGAAUUCCGGGUGUAGCGGUGGAAUGCGUAGAGAUCCGGAAGAACACCGGUGGCGAAGGCGGCCUGCUGGGCAGUGACUGUAAUGGUCAAUAGCUGACGCUGAGGCGCGACAGCGUGGGGAGCAAACAGG